GACGAACGCUGGCGGCGUGCCUAAUACAUGCAAGUAGGACGCUGAAGGAGGAGCUUGCUUCUCCGGAUGAGUUGCGAACGGGUGAGUAACGCGUAGGUAACCUGCCUGGUAGCGGGGGAUAACUAUUGGAAACGAUAGCUAAUACCGCAUAACAGUAGAUAUCGCAUGAUAUCUGCUUGAAAGGUGCAAUUGCAUCACUACCAGAUGGACCUGCGUUGUAUUAGCUAGUUGGUGAGGUAACGGCUCACCAAGGCGACGAUACAUAGCCGACCUGAGAGGGUGAUAGGCCACACUGGGACUGGGACACGGCCCAGACUCCUACGGGAGGCAGCAGUAGGGAAUCUUCGGCAAUGGACGGAAGUCUGAACGAGCAACGCCGCGUGAGUGAAGAAGGUUUUCGGAUCGUAAAGCUCUGUUGUAAGAGAAGAACGAGUGUGAGAGUGGAAAGUUCACACUGUGACGGUAGCUUACCAGAAAGGGACGGCUAACUACGUG
rnacentral:rRNA from 1 species